rnacentral:tRNA from 1 species
AAGAUUUUAAGUUAAAAAAACUAUUAAUCUUCAAAAUUAAAAAUAAUAAUUAUUAUUUAUUAAAUCUUA